UAGUGUGUUCUUUCUACUCGUACAGUUGCCCUGCAAAUUUAACUCUUACUUUGCUCCCACCCCUCCCCUCUUCCAUGCAAGGGCAUACACUGAUGAUAUGAUCAUAAUUAAUUGAUGAGCACAGACUCAAAUGCGUGGUGGGUAGCCAAGACUACAUAAACAAAACAAAACGUGGGUGGUAGACGUGCAGCACUGAUCUCACGUGAACCUUGUGAUAGACAGCUGCCUGCAUGAGAGUCUCUGCACACAGCUGCGUGCACCUUAACUGUACGAAGGCGCCAGGCCUACUCUAGCUCUGUACUGUGCUCUGGUACUACAUGGACUAAGUUGCUAGAUGUACUACACUGCAAGAUGGCACACUGCUUUGACUCGGAACUAUAGAGGUUCAUGGAGUCGAGCUAUUUAAACGAGGUUAAAGAAUAUGCGUCGCAAAUUGAGAUUCAAUAUCUGUCCAAAGAUAAACCACUGCUCUUUAAAAGGAAUAGUCCAAAAACAAAGCGUAACAAAGGUGCUAUCAGGAGUGAUAUGAUCGACCAGCAGUUACAGAUGUGCGUAUAUACUUACCUUCUAUCCAUCACUGACCGAUUAUGUCUAUGAAAAGAUACCUAUAGAUUUACUUUUGAGGUAAAUUGGAAAGAAUUCGAACAAAAGAGAACAAUGUUAAGCUACAGGAGCUGGUCGAAGACUAUGCAGUCACUGGUGCAGUCACAAUCUAAUGUUCUGAAGAUAAUACUGUAAGAAGAAGGAUACAGUACAAAUGAUAUUUGUCAAGCUGCUGCUCCACGUGGAUGACAUGCAACGUUCGUUCAAGGUAGAAAAAGUGCUAUUGAAUCUGGAUCAAUGAACUACUUCGUCAUCGUAGAGAAAGAAGUGUAUGAAGUAGAUUCAUUCUAUGAAACUCUUGUACUAUGUUUUUGACAUUUUAGUACCCACGUGCAUGUCUGCAUGGCACCCUUUUAUUUUUUAUUUUUAAGGUCCCGAACUGCCUAAGUGUAUUGUGGUCGUAGUUAUUAAACACUUUAUGAGGUUAUAGGCAUACAUAUCUUCAUACUUUUAUUGUAUGCUAUCGUGAUGCAUAUCAUUAUACACAUGCUAUAAUUAUGU